GACGAACGCUGGCGGCGUGCUUAACACAUGCAAGUCGAACGGAAAGGCCUGCUUUCCCUUGUGGAUUGCGGGUACUCGAGUGGCGAACGGGUGAGUAACACGUGAGUGAUCUGCCCCCAACUUGGGUAUAAUCCUGGGAAACUGGGUCUAAUUCCCGAUAGGACUGCAGGGUGGUGCCUGUGGUGGAAAACGAUUUUCUAGUGGUUGGGGAUGAGCUCGCGGCCUAUCAGCUUGUUGGUGGGGUAAUGGCCUACCAAGGCGGCGACGGGUAGCCGGCCUGAGAGGGUGGACGGCCACAUUGGGACUGAGAUACGGCCCAGACUCCUACGGGAGGCAGCAGUGGGGAAUAUUGCACAAUGGGCGGAAGCCUGAUGCAGCGACGCCGCGUGGGGGAUGACGGCCUUCGGGUUGUAAACUCCUUUCGACCGCGAGGAAGCCACCUGGUUGGAAGGGUGGUGACGGUAGUGGUAGAAGAAGCACCGGCUAACUACGUG
rnacentral:rRNA from 1 species